UACAGAGGUGGCAAGCGUUGUUCGGAAUUACUGGGCGUAAAGGGCGCGUAGGCGGUUCGUUAAGUCCUGUGUGAAAUCCCCCGGCUCAACUGGGGAACUGCACAGGAAACUAGCGGGCUUGAGUUCGGGAGAGGGAAGCGGAAUUCCGGGUGUAGCGGUGAAAUGCGUAGAUAUCUGGAGGAACACCGGUGGCGAAGGCGACAUCCUGGACCGGUAUUGACGCUGAGGCGCGAAAGCCAGGGGAGCAAACGGG
rnacentral:rRNA from 1 species